GCCUGGGUGGCUUAGUUGGUUAAGCGUCCGACUUUGGCUCAGGUCAUGAUCUCAUGGUUUGUGGGUUCGAGCCCCUCGUCGGGCU
rnacentral:tRNA from 1 species